rnacentral:rRNA from 1 species
GAUGAACGCUGGCGGCGUGCCUAAUGCAUGCAAGUCGAGCGAACAGAUGAGGAGCUUGCUCCUCUGACGUUAGCGGCGGACGGGUGAGUAACACGUGGAUAACCUACCUAUAAGACUGGGAUAACUUCGGGAAACCGGAGCUAAUACCGGAUAAUAUAUUGAACCGCAUGGUUCAAUAGUGAAAGACGGUUUUGCUGUCACUUAUAGAUGGAUCCGCGCCGCAUUAGCUAGUUGGUAAGGUAACGGCUUACCAAGGCAACGAUGCGUAGCCGACCUGAGAGGGUGAUCGGCCACACUGGAACUGAGACACGGUCCAGACUCCUACGGGAGGCAGCAGUAGGGAAUCUUCCGCAAUGGGCGAAAGCCUGACGGAGCAACGCCGCGUGAGUGAUGAAGGUCUUCGGAUCGUAAAACUCUGUUAUUAGGGAAGAACAAAUGUGUAAGUAACUAUGCACGUCUUGACGGUACCUAAUCAGAAAGCCACGGCUAACUACG